GGAAGGCUUCCUGGAAGAGGCAAGACCUGAGCUGGAUCUCUAGGGCUGGAGAGAGCUGAACCACUGACAGUGGGAAAAAUUUAUCCCAACUAUUUUCAGGAGCCAGACAGCCCAGAUUCCAACCCCAGUUCCAGGUCUCACCAACUGUGCACGCUUAGGACACUUGAACUAUGGGAGAUAAGAAGCCUUCCAAUAAAUAAGUCCUGCCCUCAAAAAGCUUGCAGAACAGUCAACAGAAUCUGUCACAUGAAAACAGUACAGCAGUAGAAAUUUCACUGGCAAUUUGGUUUAAGUUUGGAGCUAAGAACUACAAAUUAGGAUUUAGGAUAUACAACACCUGUAUGCCUUCCCCAUCCCCAUAAUAUGUCCAGCUUCCUACUGUGGUCACCGGGCAGCCUAUAAAAAGCAAGGUUACUCACCUCCAGCUUUUCAAAUGAACACACGGUAUCAAAUAUAGAAACCAGAGGAAGCUUCAUUGUUAUGGAGCCAAACUGAUUGAGAGCAAGUGUGAGUGCUCUAAAUAUAUAGAAGAACUAGCAGAUUUAAGAUGCAGACUCUUACAGGCUAUGAAUCCAAGAUCAAUCACUGAAGAGUCCAAGUAUAUAAUCAGAGAGUCUGUCACAGCACGAGCUGUCGGUGCCAGAACACAAAAUCGGCACCACGCCCAGAGCUGCUAAAAAAUAAAGCCAGGACCAGGGUGGUCGUGGUGCCAGAGGGAAAUUUCAGAAGCAACACUUUUGAAAUGCAAAACAGAAGCAGGAGCAAGUACCAGAAUUCUGCAAAAAUGCAAAACAAGUACUAGGUUGAGUCAUACUAAAAAUGCCAAGUAAGCAGCAGGCCAAGUACAGCCAAGACCCAUUUUUAAUGAAGCAGCUCUAGCGCACAUGGGUGCUCCGGACAUACCAGCACGAGGAAGAAAGUCCUUCCACCAGGUUCUGCCCUCUGCAAAAGCAAAAAGCAGGUGGACUAAGAAGGCAGCUCAGCCGAGUGCAGUGCAUCUCUGAAAGCAGAAACCCAGGUGGAAAGGAACAGCUCCUUCAAAAGCUCUCGAUGAGGAGUGCGGAAUGCCUCCUUGGAAGCAUAUCCUCGGGCCCUGUU